rnacentral:rRNA from 1 species
CGGCCACAUUGGGACUGAGACACGGCCCAAACUCCUACGGGAGGCAGCAGUGGGGAAUAUUGCACAAUGGGGGAAACCCUGAUGCAGCAACGCCGCGUGAGUGAAGAAGUAUUUCGGUAUGUAAAGCUCUAUCAGCAGGAAAGAAAAUGACGGUACCUGACUAAGAAGCCCCGGCUAACUACGUGCCAGCAGCCGCGGUAAUACGUAGGGGGCAAGCGUUAUCCGGAUUUACUGGGUGUAAAGGGAGCGUAGACGGUUUUGCAAGUCUGAAGUGAGAGCCCGGGGCUUAACCCCGGGACUGCAUUGGAAACUGUCAAUCUAGAGUACCGGAGAGGUAAGCGGAAUUCCUAGUGUAGCGGUGAAAUGCGUAGAUAUUAGGAGGAACACCAGUGGCGAAGGCGGCUUACUGGACGGUAACUGACGUUGAGGCUCGAAAGCGUGGAGAGCAAACAGGAUUAGAUACCCUGGUAGUCCACGCCGUAAACGAUGAUUACUAGGUGUUGGUGGGUAUGACCCAUCGGUGCCGCAGCAAACGCAAUAAGUAAUCCACCUGGGGAGUACGUUCGCAAGAAUGAAACUCAAAGGAAUUGACGGGGACCCGCACAAGCGGUGGAGCAUGUGGUUUAAUUCGAAGCAACGCGAAGAACCUUACCUGGUCUUGACAUCCCUAUGAAUAACGGGCAAUGCCGUUAGUACUUCGGUACAUAGGAGACAGGUGGUGCAUGGUUGUCGUCAGCUCGUGUCGUGAGAUGUUGGGUUAAGUCCCGCAACGAGCGCAACCCUUAUCUUUAGUAGCCAGCAGUAAGAUGGGCACUCUAGAGAGACUGCCGGGGAUAACCCGGAGGAAGGUGGGGAUGACGUCAAAUCAUCAUGCCCCUUAUGACCAGGGCUACACACGUGCUACAAUGGCGUAAACAAAGAGAAGCGAAGUCGUGAGGCAGAGCAAAUCUCAAAAAUAACGUCUCAGUUCGGAUUGUAGUCUGCAACUCGACUACAUGAAGCUGGAAUCGCUAGUAAUCGCAGAUCAGAAUGCUGCGGUGAAUACGUUCCCGGGUCUUGUACACACCGCCCGUCACACCAUGGGAGUCGGAAAUGCCCGAAGUCGGUGACCUAACCGAAAGGAAGGAGCCGCCGAAGGCAGGUCUGAUAACUGGGGUGAAGUCGUAACAAGGUAACCGUACUAGUAC